rnacentral:rRNA from 1 species
GACGAACGCUGGCGGCGUGCUUGACACAUGCAAGUCGAACGGAAAGGCCUGCUUUCCCUUGUGGAUUGCGGGUAUUCGAGUGGCGAACGGGUGAGUAACACGUGAGUGAUCUGCCCCCAACUUGGGUAUAAGCCUGGGAAACUGGGUCUAAUUCCCGAUAGGACUGCAGGGUGGUGCCUGUGGUGGAAAACGAUUUUCUAGUGGUUGGGGAUGAGCUCGCGGCCUAUCAGCUUGUUGGUGGGGUAAUGGCCUACCAAGGCGGCGACGGGUAGCCGGCCUGAGAGGGUGGACGGCCACAUUGGGACUGAGAUACGGCCCAGACUCCUACGGGAGGCAGCAGUGGGGAAUAUUGCACAAUGGGCGGAAGCCUGAUGCAGCGACGCCGCGUGGGGGAUGACGGCCUUCGGGUUGUAAACUCCUUUCGACCGCGAGGAAGCCACCUGGUUGGAAGGGUGGUGACGGUAGUGGUAGAAGAAGCACCGGCUAACUACGUG